AAAAGACAAACUGAAAGCACUUAAAUUUUAGUGUUUUGUUUUCACAUUUUCUAUAUCUUAUAUUUCCUUUAAUUGGCUGCUAGAGUGAGAGGUUAUGCUUCUUUUUAGUUCCUGAGAAAGUGCAGGAAAGUAACAGAAAUUGAAGUUCCGUUUUAAUCUUACAGAACGUUCGUGUUGGUAACUCAGUUUAGGGUUUAUGGAAAGUGAAUAUGGGUUUUGAGUAUAUAUAUAUAGCUUUUAGUAUCUAUUGCUUUAUACACUUAUGGUCUGUGUUAUCCUGCAUCAUUUCUGCUUUUUCAUACAAUGUGAUUGCAAUGCUGAUGCUUGAAGGCUUGAUUCAAGUAAAGGAAAAUUGAUUGUGUCAGUGAAUUUAUAAAUAUUUUAUGUGUUUAUUGUGUCAAUACCAGCCAAAACUGGCAUAUGU
rnacentral:misc_RNA from 1 species